AUACGUAGGGUGCAAGCGUUAAUCGGAAUUACUGGGCGUAAAGCGUGCGCAGGCGGUUUUGUAAGACAGAGGUGAAAUCCCCGGGCUCAACCUGGGAACUGCCUUUGUGACUGCAAGGCUAGAGUACGGCAGAGGGGGGUGGAAUUCCGCGUGUAGCAGUGAAAUGCGUAGAUAUGCGGAGGAACACCGAUGGCGAAGGCAAUCCCCUGGGCCUGCACUGACGCUCAUGCACGAAAGCGUGGGGAGCAAACAGGAUUAGAUACCCUGGUAGUCCACGCCCUAAACGAUUUCAACUGGUUGUUGGGGAUUUAUUUUCUCAGUAACGAAGCUAACGCGUGAAGUUGACCGCCUGGGGAGUACGGCCGCAAGGUUGAAACUUAAAGGAAUUGACGGGG
rnacentral:rRNA from 1 species